CCAGCCCAUGAACUAAAAGUUUGCUGGUUCAAUUCCCAGUCAGGGCAUAUGCCUGGGUUGCGGGCCAAGUGUCCAGUCAGGAGUGUGCAAGAGGUCACCAAUCAAUGUACCUCUAGUACAUCAAUGUUUUUCUCCUUCUCUUUCCAUCUCUCUAAAAAUAAAUAAGUAAAAUGAAAAUAAUAAUUUAAAAAGUCAAUAAACAUAACCUUGGGUGAGGAUUUUAAAAAGUCAGUGACUCUAGUCAGAGAAUUAAACAUCCAGGACAGCUGGAGCUGGGGUUCAUUGUUCAUGGGGUGAGGGGGGUACAACAGAGAUGAGGAACUGGACUUUGUUCCCAGGGUAUUGGGGAGCUGUGUCAGCAGAGGGCUGAGGUCAGAUCCCGUGAUAGGAAGUCCCUCUGGACCAGCAUGGAGACCACAGCGGAGGCAGAGGCUGAGGGCUGGGUGUUGGAGGGCUGGGUGUGGGGGCUGGUUGGAGGGAGGACAUUCUGGGAUGCUCUGGAUGGGAGAGACCAACCAAGAGUGAGAGACCUGCACCCACGUGUCCAGCGAGUUCAGAGUGAUUAUAUCACACUCAUUUCUCAGAUGAGAAAAUGGAGGCUGUGAUGGACUGAGUCAAGAUCUGAAUCCAGGAUGUCUGGCUCCAGACCCAAACUCCGGCGUCUUAUGUUUGCUGGGGCUGGCCCGCGUCAGCAGGCCAGGACUUCAGGCUGCCCAGGCACUGGGCUCAGGGUCACAGGGAUGUCCCCACUUCCUUGGGGCCUCCAGACUGGUCUGUCUGGGCGCCUGCCCUGGCUAACCCCCCUGCCUUGACUUGGCGGGGCCCCAGCCAGCGUUUCCUGCAGCAGCUGUCUCUCACCCGCACUUCCGCAUCCAGGAAGUAUCGCUCCUUUGUCCCUCCAGACCGGCCUGCCCCGCAUGAGCUGCCAGCCCCAGCGCCUCCUGACUCAUCCCCCGCCCUGCCCCAGUCCCAGGGGAUGGACUGGGAGGGAAUCAAGUCUGCUGGGUACACUGCGAUUUUCCUGUGUUCCUCUGCUGUGCUUUUCCCCGGCUACCUGAUCAUGGAGUUGAAGCACUCCCAAAGUAGACUGGUGAACUUUCUGACAUCCCAUCUUGCCACAAACAACAAAACAAAACAAAUGACCUGAGACUUUUGUGAUAUUGUUCCUGGAAUAAUUUUGGCAAGGAGGAGUUCCUGCAAUUCACGACAGGCUGUGGUAACCUCAACAAACGUUGUCAAGACUUGGGGGAAUCUUUGCAAAUCUAGAAGAAUGAAAGCUGCAAAAGGAUACUCUGCUCAGUAAGAAUCUGCUUUGUGAAUAUCUGCUGUCUUAAAGAAACACAGAAUUGACCACAAUGCUGCAUCUUCCUAUACACAGCUGCCCAGGCCGUGGGGGACAUGGGUGCCCCCCACAGUUGCUCUGGGUCUUCUGGCCCCGGGACGCUGGGGCAGCGUGGGCAGGGGCCCUCCAGUUUGCGUGUCCUUUCUAGUCUUUCUCUUGCUCAAGGCCAUGUGGUGUCGUUUCAAAGCAUAAACCAUGACUCUGGAGUCUUUGAA